GGGCCGGUAGUUCAGGGGUAGUAAUGCUCGCUUCGCAAGCGAGAGGUCGCGGGUUCGAAUAGCAUAUGCUAGAAAUUCCCGCCCGGUCCA
rnacentral:tRNA from 2 species